GGUAGCGAACAGGAUUAGAUACCCUGGUAGUCCACGCCGUAAACGAUGGAUACUAGCUGUUCGGUUUUCGGACUGAGUGGCUAAGCGAAAGUGAUAAGUAUCCCACCUGGGGAGUACGUUCGCAAGAAUGAAACUCAAAGGAAUUGACGGGGGCCCGCACAAGCGGUGGAGCAUGUGGUUUAAUUCGAUGAUACGCGAGGAACCUUACCAAGGCUUAAAUGUAGAUUGACAGGUUUAGAGAUAGACUUUUCUUCGGACAAUUUACAAGGUGCUGCAUGGUUGUCGUCAGCUCGUGCCGUGAGGUGUCAGGUUAAGUCCUAUAACGAGCGCAACCCCUAUUGUUAGUUGCCAGCGGGUCAAGUCGGGAACUCUAACAAGACUGCCGGUGCAAACCGUGAGGAAGGUGGGGAUGACGUCAAAUCAUCACGGCCCUUACGUCUUGGGCUACACACGUGCUACAAUGGCCAGUACAGAAAGCAGCUACCAGGCAACUGGAUGCGAAUCUCAAAAACUGGUCUCAGUUCGGAUUGGAGUCUGCAACUCGACUCCAUGAAGCUGGAAUCGCUAGUAAUCGGAUAUCAGCCAUGAUCCGGUGAAUACGUUCCCGGGCCUUGUACACACCGCCCGUCAAGCCAUGGAAGCCGGGGGUACCUGAAGUCGGUCGCCGCAAGGAGCUGCCUAU
rnacentral:rRNA from 1 species